rnacentral:rRNA from 2 species
CUCCCAAAGAUUAGCGGCGGACGGGUGAGUAACACGUGGGUAACCUGCCUGUAAGAUUGGGAUAACUCCGGGAAACCGGAGCUAAUACCGGAUAACAUUUUGAACCGCAUGGUUCAAAAUUGAAAGACGGCUUUGGCUGUCACUUACAGAUGGACCCGCGGCGCAAUAACUAGUUGGUGAGGUAACGGCUCACCAAGGCAACGAUGCGUAACCCACCUGAGAGGGUGAUCGGCCACACUGGGACUGAAACACGGCCCAGACUCCUACGGGAGGCAGCAGUAGGGAAUCUUCCGCAAUGGACGAAAGUCUGACGGAACAACGCCGCGUGAACGAUGAAGGCCUUCGGGUCGUAAAGUUCUGUUGUUAGGGAAGAACAAGUACCAGAAUAACUGCUGGUACCUUGACGGUACCUAACCAGAAAGCCACGGCUAACUACGUGCCAGCAGCCGCGGUAAUACGUAAGUGGCAAGCGUUGUCCGGAAUUAUUGGGCGUAAAGCGCGCGCAGGCGGUUUCUUAAGUCUGAUGUGAAAGCCCACGGCUCAACCGUGGAGGGUCAUUGGAAACUGGGGAACUUGAGUGCAGAAGAAGAGAGUGGAAUUCCACGUGUAGCGGUGAAAUGCGUAGAGAUGUGGAGGAACACCA